GAUGAACGCUGGCGGCGUGCCUAAUACAUGCAAGUCGAGCGAAAAGACGAGGAGCUUGCUCUUCUGACGUUAGCGGCGGACGGGUGAGUAACACGUGGAUAACCUACUUAUAAGACUGGGAUAAUUUCGGGAAACCGGAGCUAAUACUGGAUAAUAUAUUGAACCGCAUGGUUCAAUAGUGAAAGACGGCUUUGCUGUCUCUUAUAGAUGGAUCCGCGCCGCAUUAGCUAGUUGGUAAGGUAACGGCUUACCAAGGCUACGAUGCGUAGCCGACCUGAGAGGGUGAUCGGCCACACUGGAACUGAGACACGGUCCAGACUCCUACGGGAGGCAGCAGUAGGGAAUCUUCCGCAAUGGGCGAAAGCCUGACGGAGCAACGCCGCGUGAGUGAUGAAGGUCUUCGGAUCGUAAAACUCUGUUAUUGGGGAAGAACAAAUGUGUAAGUAACUAUGCACGUCUUGACGGUACCUAAUCAGAAAGCCACGGCUAACUACGUG
rnacentral:rRNA from 1 species